UUAAGCGACUAAGCGUACACGGUGGAUGCCCUGGCAGUCAGAGGCGAUGAAGGACGUGCUAAUCUGCGAAAAGCGUCGGUAAGGUGAUAUGAACCGUUAUAACCGGCGAUGUCCGAAUGGGGAAACCCAGUGCAAUUCGUUGCACUAUCGUUAACUGAAUACAUAGGUUAACGAGGCGAACCGGGGGAACUGAAACAUCUAAGUACCCCGAGGAAAAGAAAUCAACCGAGAUUCCCCCAGUAGCGGCGAGCGAACGGGGAGCAGCCCAGAGUCUGAAUCAGCUUGUGUGUUAGUGGAACGGUCUGGAAAGUCCGACGGUACAGGGUGAUAGUCCCGUACACCAAAAUGCACAGGCUGUGAACUCGAAGAGUAGGGCGGGACACGUGGUAUCCUGUCUGAAUAUGGGGGGACCAUCCUCCAAGGCUAAAUACUCCUGACUGACCGAUAGUGAACCAGUACCGUGAGGGAAAGGCGAAAAGAACCCCGGCGAGGGGAGUGAAAAAGAACCUGAAACCGUGUACGUACAAGCAGUGGGAGCACCUUCGGGUGUGACUGCGUACCUUUUGUAUAAUGGGUCAGCGACUUAUAUUCUGUAGCAAGGUUAACCGUAUAGGGGAGCCGCAGGGAAACCGAGUCUUAACUGGGCGUUAAGUUGCAGGGUAUAGACCCGAAACCCGGUGAUCUAGCCAUGGGCAGGUUGAAGGUUGGGUAACACUAACUGGAGGACCGAACCGACUAAUGUUGAAAAAUUAGCGGAUGACUUGUGGCUGGGGGUGAAAGGCCAAUCAAACCGGGAGAUAGCUGGUUCUCCCCGAAAGCUAUUUAGGUAGCGCCUCGUGAACUCAUCUUCGGGGGUAGAGCACUGUUUCGGCUAGGGGGUCAUCCCGACUUACCAACCCGAUGCAAACUACGAAUACCGAAGAAUGUUAUCACGGGAGACACACGGCGGGUGCUAACGUCCGUCGUGAAGAGGGAAACAACCCAGACCGCCAGCUAAGGUCCCAAAGUCAUGGUUAAGUGGGAAACGAUGUGGGAAGGCACAGACAGCCAGGAUGUUGGCUUAGAAGCAGCCAUCAUUUAAAGAAAGCGUAAUAGCUCACUGGUCGAGUCGGCCUGCGCGGAAGAUGUAACGGGGCUAAACCAUGCACCGAAGCUGCGGCAGCGACACGAUGUGUUGUUGGGUAGGGGAGCGUUCUGUAAGCCUGCGAAGGUGACCUGUGAGGGUUGCUGGAGGUAUCAGAAGUGCGAAUGCUGACAUAAGUAACGAUAAAGCGGGUGAAAAGCCCGCUCGCCGGAAGACCAAGGGUUCCUGUCCAACGUUAAUCGGGGCAGGGUGAGUCGACCCCUAAGGCGAGGCCGAAAGGCGUAGUCGAUGGGAAACAGGUUAAUAUUCCUGUACUUGGUGUUACUGCGAAGGGGGGACGGAGAAGGCUAUGUUAGCCGGGCGACGGUUGUCCCGGUUUAAGCAUGUAGGCUGGUUAUCCAGGCAAAUCCGGAUAAUCAAGGCUGAGGUGUGAUGACGAGGCACUACGGUGCUGAAGUAACAAAUGCCCUGCUUCCAGGAAAAGCCUCUAAGCAUCAGGUAACACGAAAUCGUACCCCAAACCGACACAGGUGGUCAGGUAGAGAAUACCAAGGCGCUUGAGAGAACUCGGGUGAAGGAACUAGGCAAAAUGGUGCCGUAACUUCGGGAGAAGGCACGCUGGUGUGUAGGUGAAGCCCCUGCGGGUGGAGCUGAGACCAGUCGAAGAUACCAGCUGGCUGCAACUGUUUAUUAAAAACACAGCACUGUGCAAACACGAAAGUGGACGUAUACGGUGUGACGCCUGCCCGGUGCCGGAAGGUUAAUUGAUGGGGUUAUCCGUAAGGAGAAGCUCUUGAUCGAAGCCCCGGUAAACGGCGGCCGUAACUAUAACGGUCCUAAGGUAGCGAAAUUCCUUGUCGGGUAAGUUCCGACCUGCACGAAUGGCGUAAUGAUGGCCAGGCUGUCUCCACCCGAGACUCAGUGAAAUUGAACUCGCUGUGAAGAUGCAGUGUACCCGCGGCAAGACGGAAAGACCCCGUGAACCUUUACUAUAGCUUGACACUGAACAUUGAGCCUUGAUGUGUAGGAUAGGUGGGAGGCUUUGAAGCGUGGACGCCAGUCUGCGUGGAGCCAACCUUGAAAUACCACCCUUUAAUGUUUGAUGUUCUAACGUUGGCCCCUUACCGGGGUUGCGGACAGUGUCUGGUGGGUAGUUUGACUGGGGCGGUCUCCUCCCAAAGCGUAACGGAGGAGCACGAAGGUUAGCUAAUCCUGGUCGGACAUCAGGAGGUUAGUGCAAUGGCAUAAGCUAGCUUGACUGCGAGCGUGACGGCGCGAGCAGGUGCGAAAGCAGGUCAUAGUGAUCCGGUGGUUCUGAAUGGAAGGGCCAUCGCUCAACGGAUAAAAGGUACUCCGGGGAUAACAGGCUGAUACCGCCCAAGAGUUCAUAUCGACGGCGGUGUUUGGCACCUCGAUGUCGGCUCAUCACAUCCUGGGGCUGAAGUAGGUCCCAAGGGUAUGGCUGUUCGCCAUUUAAAGUGGUACGCGAGCUGGGUUUAGAACGUCGUGAGACAGUUCGGUCCCUAUCUGCCGUGGGCGCUGGAGAAUUGAGGGGGGCUGCUCCUAGUACGAGAGGACCGGAGUGGACGCAUCACUGGUGUUCGGGUUGUCAUGCCAAUGGCACUGCCCGGUAGCUAAAUGCGGAAGAGAUAAGUGCUGAAAGCAUCUAAGCACGAAACUUGCCCCGAGAUGAGUUCUCCCUGAGACUUUAAGUCUCCUGAAGGAACGUUGAAGACGACGACGUUGAUAGGCCGGGUGUGUAAGCGCAGCGAUGCGUUGAGCUAACCGGUACUAAUGAACCGUGAGGCUUAACCU
rnacentral:rRNA from 1 species